AUUGAACGCUGGCGGCAUGCCUUACACAUGCAAGUCGAACGGCAGCGGACCUUCGGGUGCCGGCGAGUGGCGAACGGGUGAGUAAUAUAUCGGAACGUACCUUUCAGUGGGGGAUAACGUAGCGAAAGUUACGCUAAUACCGCAUAUUCUGUGAGCAGGAAAGCAGGGGAUCGCAAGACCUUGCGCUGAUUGAGCGGCCGAUAUCAGAUUAGCUAGUUGGUGAGGUAAAGGCUCACCAAGGCGACGAUCUGUAGCGGGUCUGAGAGGAUGAUCCGCCACACUGGAACUGAGACACGGUCCAGACUCCUACGGGAGGCAGCAGUGGGGGAAUUUUGGACAAUGGGCGGCAAGCCUGAUCCAGCCAUGCCGCGUGAGUGAAGAAGGCCUC
rnacentral:rRNA from 1 species